rnacentral:rRNA from 1 species
GAUUAAGUUAUUAAGGGCGCACGGUGGAUGCCUUGGCACUAGAAGCCGAUGAAGGACGUUACUAACGACGAUAUGCUUUGGGGAGCUGUAAGUAAGCUUUGAUCCAGAGAUUUCCGAAUGGGGAAACCCAGCAUGAGUUAUGUCAUGUUAUCGAUAUGUGAAUACAUAGCAUAUCAGAAGGCACACCCGGAGAACUGAAACAUCUUAGUACCCGGAGGAAGAGAAAGAAAAUUCGAUUCCCUUAGUAGCGGCGAGCGAAACGGGAAGAGCCCAAACCAACAAGCUUGCUUGUUGGGGUUGUAGGACACUCUAUACGGAGUUACAAAGGACGACAUUAGACGAAUCAUCUGGAAAGAUGAAUCAAAGAAGGUAAUAAU